UACUAGAGUAGCACUCGCAUAUCAAUAAGCGGAGGAAAAGAAACUAACAAGGAUUCCCCUAGUAACGGCGAGUGAAGCGGGAAGAGCUCAAAUUUGAAAUCUUAAAGGGUUUCCCUUUACGAAUUGUAGUUUAAAGAAGUGUUUUCUGUCGAGGUUUUGGUAAAAGUUCUUUGGAAUAGGACAUCAUAGAGGGUGAGAAUCCCGUAUUUGACCUUUACUUUCAACUUUGUGAUACACUUUCAAAGAGUCGGAUUGUUUGGGAAUGCAGUCCAAAAUGGGUGGUAAAUUUCAUCUAAAGCUAAAUAUUGGCGAGAGACCGAUAGCGAACAAGUACCGUGAGGGAAAGAUGAAAAGAACUUUGAAAAGAGAGUUAAACAGUACGUGAAAUUGUCAAAAGGGAAGCGUUUGACACCAGUGUUGUUUUUCUGAAAAUCAAUUAAAGAACUGUUUAUGCUAAGUUGUUUAGACUUUAUCAGCUAACUGUUUAGUUUUGAGCUUUUCUUUAAUGCACUUUUCAGUUAACAAGUCAACAUCAAUUUCUUUUGCUGUAAAAAAGCUUGAGGAAGGUGGCUUGAGAUUCGUCUUAAGUGUUUAUAGCCUCUUGCCUAUGCAGUCGGAGAGAUUGAGGUCUGCAGCGUAGAUCCUUCGGGGCUAAAUGCAUUUGUGCUAAGUUAUAGCAUUUUAUAGACAACUUGUUGACUAUGAUUUGUCUUGUAGCUUACUCGCUUAUGUUAUUUUACCUACGCUUAGGAUGUUGAGCGCAUGUCUCUCUCU
rnacentral:rRNA from 1 species